rnacentral:rRNA from 1 species
UACGUAGGGUCCGAGCGUUGUCCGGAAUUACUGGGCGUAAAGAGCUCGUAGGUGGUUUGUCGCGUUGUUCGUGAAAACUCACAGCUUAACUGUGGGCGUGCGGGCGAUACGGGCAGACUGGAGUACUGCAGGGGAGACUGGAAUUCCUGGUGUAGCGGUGGAAUGCGCAGAUAUCAGGAGGAACACCGGUGGCGAAGGCGGGUCUCUGGGCCACUACUGACGCUGAGAAGCGAAAGCAUGGGGAGCGAACAGG